GGAAUUGACGGGGAGCACCACAACGGGUGGAGCUUGCGGUUUAAUUGGAUUCAACGCCGGAAAUCUUACCGGGACCGACAGCAAUAUGAAGGCCAGGCUGAAGACUUUGCCGGAUUAGCUGAGAGGUGGUGCAUGGCCGUCGUCAGUUCGUACUGUGAAGCAUCCUGUUAAGUCAGGCAACGAGCGAGACCCACGCCCACAGUUGCCAGCGUACUCUCCGGAGUGACGGGUACACUGUGGGGACCGCCGCUGCUAAAGCGGAGGAAGGAAUGGGCAACGGUAGGUCAGUAUGCCCCGAAUAUCCCGGGCUACACGCGAGCUACAAUGGUUGGUACAAUGGGUAUCUACCCCGAAAGGGGACGGGAAUCUCCUAAAACCAAUCUUAGUUCGGAUUGAGGGCUGCAACUCGCCUGCAUGAAGCCGGAAUCGCUAGUAAUCGCGGAUCAGCAUGCCGCGGUGAAUACGUUCCCGGGCCUU
rnacentral:rRNA from 1 species